UCGAUCAACCCUUGUGCACCUAUGGAUAGAUUCUUAACUAAUUAUUUCAUCAAAUAAUUUUUAGUAAUUAAUUUUGCCCCAGACACCUCUUCAGUAGGCAUGUGGUGCCUUCACUAAAAGUUUUGGUUAGGUCCAACCAUUAACAUAUCAGAAUUCAAUAUAUCUGAUAAAUGAAUGAUUAGGUUUGAAUAUGGCUUGGCCAAUCUAACCAUCAUUAGAAAGACACAACUAAAUCAAUAUAUUAUGAAUGAUAAUUUCGAUAGCC
rnacentral:lncRNA from 1 species